rnacentral:rRNA from 1 species
GAUGAACGCUGGCGGCGUGCCUAACACAUUCAAGUCGAACGGACUUUGGUUGGAAGCUUGCUUCCGACCCAAGUUAGUGGCGGACGGGUGAGUAACGCGUGAGCAACCUGCCCCUGUGAGUGGAAUAACGUCCGGAAACAGACGCUAAUACCGCAUAACACACCGAGAUCGCAUGUUUUUGGUGUCAAAGAUUUAUCGCACAGGGAUGGGCUCGCGUUGGAUUAGUUAGUUGGUGAGGUAACGGCUCACCAAGACCGCGAUCCAUAGCCGGACUGAGAGGUUGAACGGCCACAUUGGAACUGAGAAACGGUCCAG